CAGUAUAUCUAAGGGUGACAUCUAUUGCAUUAAGGAUUCGAAUAUGUCCUAAUAAAGUCAAGAUUUAAUACAUAUCUAUAUAUGUAAAAACAUUUAUACGAAAAUAUAUACAUAUUCAAUAACAAAUAUAUAUCAAAAAACGAUCCGAAAACACUCCAUUCUUGAACAAGGUAAACGUAUGUAGAGAGCAUGCGAAUGUUCAUCUGUGCGAUCCAAUCAGAUGUUAUCUGUGCGGUCCACUCAUUGGACGAAGCAUGGAUAGAAGUCAAUAUGGCGUCAAAGUAAUAUGUAAAAUACCCUUAAAAUGCUCAAUUUUAUAUAGUCAUAACUUUUGAACCAAUGGAUUCCGCAGAUUCUACACGUCGAAAACCACAAGAUUGCGAAUAAAAAAAUAAAAAAUUUUU